CGAACCCGGGUCUUCGGUGUGACGAAUGAACGCUUUUACCACUACGCUACCCCACCGCCCCCAACCAACAGUUAAAUGAAAUGUGAUUAACAAUUAAGGCCAGGCGUCAAUAUGAACCACAACAAAGGUGUCACUCUAAAUGGCAGUACAAAAUUGGUAUGCAGCACAAAUUCAGAAGGAAUAUAAUAAGAGCAGCGAUUAUGACAACGACAUUGAUGUCAAUAUUCAGCUCUCAGCAACAUGUAAUUAUAGGCCGCAGGGUAUAGUGCCUAUCAUCAUUCUGGAUUAAGUUCACGCAGCUCCCACCAGCCCCUUCUGACUAAAUCUGGUGCAAGUCAAACUACACCCCAUGUCUAACUGUAACACACCAUUGCCCUCACUGAAUAUCACAUGUUGAAUAACUUACAUCUGGAACAUUAUAGCACAAUAAAUAACAAGCUGAAUGUACAAUUGUCCCCAGGAGAGACGAUGAGGAGAAAGGAGAUUUGCAGACAGAUGCUGUUGUGAUACAGGACAAUGAGCUGUAUUACAGUCACAAUGGCAUUUGUCCAGAUUCAUUUGAGGCGGAGAGGAUGAAAGAAUCAAGAAGCGUGAUGGAAAUGGACCCCGACUACGUGUAUGCCAACCCGAACAAGAAACAAAGUGGAGGUGUUGACCAAACAAACCCACUCAAGUUCAGUCAGUGUAACCCCAAGAACAUGGAGACUGCUUGGGACAAACAAACGGAACCUUGAUGUACAGGAUUUAAGCACUGCAGCCCAGUCGAAGGAGACGUCCCACUAGUAGUGACGCUGGCCUUGUAUCUGCCAGGAUUCUCUGUCCCAGGGUUGGACACGUGCUGAUUAUAAUCACCCUCUGUCUGUCAGUGAUGUACACGUGCUCAUGGAUGUCGCCGACGUGGUGAAUGUCAACGUUGUCACAUGGACAUCACUGACGACCUCUAGUCCAUCACCACCACCAAAUACGGACGUCAUCCUUGAAUAGGGGUUUGGAAGUAGUGUGUGUAAUCUUAAAACCUCACAGUAUUUCUAUAUGUUAUUGUUCACUUUCACUUAACAGUGAAAUACGUCAUCAUCAUAAGCAAAAGUACCACAUGAUUUAUAUUGACCAUAAAAUACCAUGAUGUUGGAU